rnacentral:rRNA from 1 species
UACGGAGGGUGCAAACGUUGCUCGGAAUCAUUGGGCGUAAAGCGCACGUAGGCGGCCUGUUAAGUCGGGUGUGAAAGCCCUCGGCUCAACCGAGGAAGUGCAUUCGAAACUGGCAGGCUUGAGUAUGGAAGAGGGUCGCGGAAUUCCCGGUGUAGAGGUGAAAUUCGUGGAUAUCGGGAGGAACACCAGUGGCGAAGGCGGCGACCUGGGCCAAUACUGACGCUGAGGUGCGAAAGCGUGGGGAGCAAACAGG